rfam:Streptococcus phocae strain ATCC 51973 contig_8, whole genome shotgun sequence.
GUAGGAAUAAAUCCUUUUCUAGUGAAGUGUCGCAACUCUACUAUACAGGUUUUAUUCCUUUUU